GCAUACCUACGGGAGGCAGCAGUGGGGAAUAUUGGGCAAUGGGCGCAAGCCUGACCCAGCAACGCCGCGUGAAGGAAGAAGGCUUUCGGGUUGUAAACUUCUUUUCUCAGGGACGAAGCAAGUGACGGUACCUGAGGAAUAAGCCACGGCUAACUACGUGCCAGCAGCCGCGGUACUACGUAGGUGGCAAGCGUUAUCCGGAUUUACUGGGUGUAAAGGGCGUGUAGGCGGGGACGCAAGUCA
rnacentral:rRNA from 1 species